rnacentral:rRNA from 1 species
UACGUAGGGUGCAAGCGUUAAUCGGAAUUACUGGGCGUAAAGCGUGCGCAGGCGGUUAUGUAAGACAGUUGUGAAAUCCCCGGGCUCAACCUGGGAACUGCAUCUGUGACUGCAUAGCUAGAGUACGGUAGAGGGGGAUGGAAUUCCGCGUGUAGCAGUGAAAUGCGUAGAUAUGCGGAGGAACACCGAUGGCGAAGGCAAUCCCCCUGGACCUGUACUGACGCUCAUGCACGAAAGGCGUGGGGAGCAAACAGG